AGAUCUUUCAGGAUGCGGAAGAAGUUGGAGAAUAAUAUAGAUAGAGAAUUAAAAGAAGCUACUAUUGAACUUGAAUCUAAGUCCUACAGACUCUCUCGUAGGCUCGAUGGACGAGUCAAGUCUUAAGUCCAGAUCUGGUUU